rnacentral:lncRNA from 1 species
CUUCUUCUCCCAAUAAAUUACUCUAUCUCUAAACUUUUGAAAAAUAGAAGAAAUGGAAGUGUUGAGAGGAAGGUAAGGGGUGGGUAAUUUAUAGAAUUUUGGAACUGUUGGAUUCACGCCAAGUAGGGAAGACAGACUCCUUCGCCGUCGGCCGUGGUGCAAUGCCCAAGGUAGCAGUGGCGCACUGCCCAAUGAAGCAGUGCUUUGGCUAGUGCACUACAGGCUAGCCUGCAGGCGCACACACCUACUGCCACGCAAGUAGGGCCUAGACGCACUGGGUGCCAUUUACGCAGGUCCCAGGUGCACAAGGCCUAUUCGCACAAGCUUGUUGCACGAAUGGCACACGCAUAUUGUGAGGCACAUGUCAGCGCGUGAGGUGACGUGCGGAUGGCUUGCCUAUGAGCGAUAGGAUGCGCGGGCAGGUCCUAACCCCACGCCACGUGUACGCGAAAAAAACAUGCGCGUUGUGUGCAAGUCCCGUGCGCGCGGAGAAGAGGUGUGCCUUGUGCGCAAGUCCUGUGUGUGCGGGCAUGCGGACGCGACAUGCGUGCUGUGCGCACGUCCCGCAACCACUAUGCGCGCAGUCGCACGUGCACAAUGCUCAGUACCCGCGCGCAAAUGUCCCUCUCGCAGGAUUUUUCCCGCGAGCAUUUUUUUUUUUUUUUGCCGUUUUCCAAUUCAUUUUUUCUAAAUUUUCAUUU